AAUACGUUCCCGGGCCUUGUACACACCGCCCGUCACACCAUGGGAGUGGAUUGCACCAGAAGUGGAUAGUCUAACCUUCGGGAGGACGUUCACCACGGUGUGGUUCAUGACUGGGGUGAAGUCGUAACAAGGUAGCCGUAGGGGAACCUGCGGCUGGAUCACCUCCUUAACGA
rnacentral:rRNA from 1 species